rnacentral:rRNA from 1 species
CGUAGGUGGCAAGCGUUAUCCGGAAUUAUUGGGCGUAAGCGCGCGUAGGCGGUUUAAGUCUGAUGUGAAGCCCACGGCUCAACCGUGGAGGUCAUUGGAAACUGGAAACUUGAGUGCAGAAGAGGAAGUGGAAUUCCAUGUGUAGCGGUGAAAUGCGCAGAGAUAUGGAGGAACACCAGUGGCGAAGGCGGCUUUCUGGUCUGCAACUGACGCUGAUGUGCGAAAGCGUGGGAUCAAACAGGAUU